GUCAAUCAAUCAGUGAUGCUGACGUCAUUGCAAGGCGCGAUCCCAAGGUCCACUGCGAUUUCCCGCUCGGUCCUUCAAAUUUGCCAGCUUCCAACAUUCUCCUUUAUUUUAACCUCCCUCCACACACACACACACACACACACACACACACAAACCAAAGGCACUUUUAAGAGCCACGUCUGUCUUGUUAACCUGUACUUGUCUCUCUGUAGCUCGCUCUAUCUCUCUCUCUAUUUACAUUGUUCUAUCUGUCCAUCUUUCUGUCUCUCUCAAUAGGUCCUACAAAAACUAUAUUUUAACACAUUGUCUGUCUGUUUUUUUUUUUUUUUUUUGUAUAUUUCUUCUUUAUAUUUCUUGUCAAGUUAUGAUGAGGCCCAAAUUCCGGCCCGGCCCAUCUUGCCAGACUCCUAAUCAGGCAAGCAGGAAAAGUUGUUAUGUCUGCUUUGGAAGUCUGUCCACUAAACAAAAAAUAAAUGACAAAGUGGUGUCACUGGAUAGCCAGUGGGGGCAAUCUGUCAAGAAAAGCAGAAAUGUUGGGCGCAUAAUUGCUCUAAGUCUUUGCAACAGAGGAAGAAAAGGACAAAACCUCAAUCUGUUCACCAGCACCUUCUGCCACCUCUGUCUCUCCUCCAUCUCUUAUCCCCACAGAUCUCUCCCUUCCACAGUCUUGUCUUCCACCUGCUGCCUCUUCCAUCUUCCAGUCCUUGAGUCAGGAGGGGCCAAAUGUGAAGAAGAAAAGAAAAGUUUGCCGAAAAUGUAGUAGACAGAAGAUCUUCCUGUUUGAUAAAAUAACCGGGGAAAGAAUAAAUGAGGUAAAAUGUCUUUUAUUAGGCUACUUGCUUGUCUUGGUGACUGAUUCUGGCCUUUAAAGAUAAUAAACUAUGUUAUGCCCUAUCCAGUAAUUGCUUAAACAGCUCAAAUAAUAAUUACAGUGUGUGUGUGUGUGUGUGUGUGUGUAGGGAAAAGCAGAAUUGACUUACCACUGGUUGCCUUGCACUGUGUGUGGCUAAACUUGGGAUGACACAUGGGAGCCUGCCAGCGAGUUCCAGCAUUUUUUGCCAGUGUCUCCAAAUCCCAGCCAUCUUUCACCAUGACAGUCUCCUCACCCUGAGCGCCUGGACUCGUCAAGCACACUUCAGUUCUGAGUGUGUUGUUGUUGUUUUGCUUGCUGUUCUUCAUUAAAGUUUUUGCACAGUGCAUACACUCUUUUAGUAUUUUUUUUUAAAAGUUGUCAUUUUAAACACCUUUUGCAUUUGUCAUGAACUGCGUAACAGCCAGGUAGGGUAGCAUGGAGAGGGCAUGCUACAAACAUGCUGUUUGUUAUAAUGACAUGCGCAAAGAUAAGAUUUUUGCAGUGCAAUUUUAGUAUUGCAUAGAUGCAAACUGUAGGUGACAAUUAAUUUUUUUGAGAGCAAAAUGAGAAAGUGAUCCAAUGAGAAAGUGUUUUUAUUAUAUUUUAAUAUUCAGUUAUGAAAAGUUAGACUGGUCUUAUUUGUUUUGGAAAAGUAAGGCUGAUAACCACUUGGCAACUGCUAGCAAGUUUUGUAUAAUAUUUUCUUUACUCUUUACUAAACUGUCUAAAAAGGGUAAUAUUUUAUGUAAUUGAGGUUUGAGAUGUGGAAACGGUGAAGAGAGAGAAGGCAAACAUUUUGCAUUUUAGGUCUAAUCAUCCAAUAUUGUCUUAAGUAACCUGCAUAGCACUUCCUAUUUUAUAACAUGGGAUUUUGACCAAAUAUAUUCAAUCUUGAUUUUUGUAAACUGUUGCAAAAAUAUGUUUGUUUGUUUUUUUGGUGUAAAAUUACAGUUUGGACAUGUAAUGUAAUAAAAAUAUUUAUAAAAAUACCUGGAAGUAUCUACAUAUGAGCAUGUAAAACAAAUAUCUUUAAAAAAAAAUUCCUUGUGGAGCAUGCCCCCGGUUCUCACCUUUUUACCCCUUUUACCUGUUUG